rnacentral:misc_RNA from 1 species
AGUCGUAACAAGGUUUCCGUAGGUGAACCUGCGGAAGGAUCAUUAUUGAAUUAUGUUUCUAGAUGGGUUGUCGCUGGCUCUUCGGAGCAUGUGCACGCCUGUUUAGAUUUCAUUUUCAUCCACCUGUGCACCUAUUGUAGUCUUCGGUUGGGUAUAGAGGAAGUGGUCAGCCUAUCAGCAUUUGCUGGAUAUGAGGAGUGCAGUGUGAAAACAUUGCUGUCCUCAACUUGGCCAUGGAGUCUUUUGCCUGUCGGGGUCUAUGUCAAUCAUUAUACUCUAUUGAAUGUUAUUGAAUGUCUUUACAUGGGCUUUUAUGCCUAUGAAAAUUGUAAUACAACUUUCAGCAACGGAUCUCUUGGUUCUG